UUUCAGGUUAGCUCCAAAAUAACAGAUUUUGACAAGGAGAAAGAAAAUUAUAUAAGGCAUAUUCUUAAAAGAUUCCAAAAUGGUAAGAAAAUUGGCAGCGCAGAUGGCAAGACUUUUAGCAAUAUCAAUAGAGAGUGUAUGAUGCCGGAACAGAACGCUAAUGACUUUUGUAAGAAAAUGCUGGAAAAGGUGAAAGAAAGCCAUCAGAGAAAAGUGGAGGAAAAACCCAGAAAUACUACAACUAAACAUUCUUAUCAGACGCCUCUUGAUAUAGACCCAAGUUUCAUCAGCAGGAUCAAACUAAAGAAUCUUCUGGAAAACAUGAAACAGGUUACU